CCCGGUAAACGGCGGCCGUAACUAUAACGGUCCUAAGGUAGCGAAAUUCCUUGUCGGGUAAGUUCCGACCUGCACGAAUGGCGUAAUGAUGGCCAGGCUGUCUCCACCCGAGACUCAGUGAAAUUGAACUCGCUGUGAAGAUGCAGUGUACCCGCGGCAAGACGGAAAGACCCCGUGAACCUUUACUAUAGCUUGACACUGAACACUGGUCCUUGAUGUGUAGGAUAGGUGGGAGGCUUUGAAGUGUGGACGCCAGUCUGCAUGGAGCCAUCCUUGAAAUACCACCCUUUAAUGGCUGGUGUUCUAACGUGGGCCCGUAAUCCGGGUUGCGGACAGUGUCUGGUGGGUAGUUUGACUGGGGCGGUCUCCUCCUAAAGAGUAACGGAGGAGCACGAAGGUCAGCUAAUCCUGGUCGGACAUCAGGAGGUUAGUGCAAUGGCAUAAGCUGGCUUGACUGCGAGCGUGACGGCGCGAGCAGGUGCGAAAGCAGGUCAUAGUGAUCCGGUGGUUCUGAAUGGAAGGGCCAUCGCUCAACGGAUAAAAGGUACUCCGGGGAUAACAGGCUGAUACCGCCCAAGAGUUCAUAUCGACGGCGGUGUUUGGCACCUCGAUGUCGGCUCAUCACAUCCUGGGGCUGAAGUAGGUCCCAAGGGUAUGGCUGUUCGCCAUUUAAAGUGGUACGCGAGCUGGGUUUAGAACGUCGUGAGACAGUUCGGUCCCUAUCUGCCGUGGGCGCUGGAGAAUUGAGGGGGGCUGCUCCUAGUACGAGAGGACCGGAGUGGACGCAUCACUGGUGUUCGGGUU
rnacentral:rRNA from 1 species